UAAGGAGAUAAAGAAGACCCAAGUGAAGAAAGGUGACAGUGUCAAAAGAAAGAGCUGUUCUAGAAAUGAAGCCCAGGAAUCAAGCCAGUCACAAGAAGGACAAGAACCUUCAAGAAAGAUAUCAAGAAUUCUUGAGAUGACAGACUCGCACACACAAGAUGCAACAAGUCUUGGAAGUAC